UUACCACACCUAAAGCCUUCCCCUCCUUCCCUUCCAGCACCACCACCACGACCACCACCACCACCACCACCAUCAACGCAGAGCCAUCACAACAAAACCACCAACCAGCAUCGACGGCAAAGAAUAGAGAGCUUGGCAGGAGGCGUGGGUGUCGGUGGCGGUGGUCGGGGAGUGAAUACCUUCAUUGCAUCAAAGGUAGAUGAGCAGCGUGGUGUCUAAAUGGUUGGCUUCCUAACAAACACACCCAUCAAGUCCUUCUCAUUCAUAAUUCACGCCAGGAAGGAGAUGAAUGACCUCCACCCACCCUCUUUCCCGUCUCUCAAGCCUUCAAGCACCAGCUGUUUCGU